UUUAUAACAGUCUCAAGCAUAUCAACAUCUUCAUUAUUAGGCGUAGUGGUGACACUCUUUCCAACAUCUUUAAGAGCUUUAAUCGUUGCAUCUGCUAUGAUGUUUGGUCGUCUUGGUGCUCUUUCCGGAAAUAUGUUGUUCCCAGUUUUUAUUGAAAUCGGUUGCAUACCACCAUUUUUAAUGGUGGGCUUUGUCAUGUUUUGUGCUGCGGCUCUAUCCUGCAUUUUACCAAGUCC